rnacentral:lncRNA from 1 species
UUUUUUUUUUUUUUUUAAUGUCAAGACUUGUGGUACAAUUUGCCUCUUUAUGUGUUUUUGUGUAACCUGAAUUAAAGUAACAACUGAAUUAAAAAUAAUAAUGAAAGAAUGUACAGUAUAACAUAUUUUAUAAAGUGUAAAACCGAGCAACAUAUUGUUUAGAUAUGAAAUAUGUAUGUAGAAAACCAUAAUUAAAUGAAAGAAAGGGGCACCUGGGUGGCUCAGUUAGUUAACCAUCUGCCUUCCACUCAGGUCAUGAUCACAGGGUCCUAGACUGAGCCCUGCAUCCAGUUCCUUGCUCAGCUGAAAGCCUCAUUCUCCCUUUCCUUUUGCCCCUCCACCUUGAUCAUGGUCUGUUUCUUGUUCACUCUCUCUCAAAUAAAUAAAUGAAAUCUUUUAAAAAGUGGACAAAAUGGGGUGUCUGGGUGGCUCAGUUGGUUAGGCAUUCAACUCUUGAUUUAGGCUCAGGUUAUGAACUUGAGGUUCUUAGAUUGAUCCCUGUAUCAGGCUCCUUGCUCAGUGGGGAGUCUCUUUGCGAUUCUCUUCCUCUCCUUCUCUCUGCCCCUGCUCCUCCUUUCAUGCUCUCUAAAAUAAAUAAAUAAAAGAAAUAAAGAAAAAAAAUGACAAAGUGGAUAGAAUAAAAACAACAUUGAAAAUGCCAGGAUAACAAUUACAAGGAGGAGGGAUCAGAAGGGGAAGGGACUUUCAGGCUACCUCGAAAGUAAUAAAAAUGUUCUAUUUCUUAAGCUGAGUAAUGAAUUCAUGUGUCUCUUUUUAUGAUUCUGUUUCAUAACUAGAGUAUAUAUAAAUUAUAUACAUACAUUAGUUAUAUGUAUUUAGCAUCAUAUAAAACAAAGGAUACUGCUUUUGCAUAAUGCGUUAAUAAAAACUUAAGAGAAUUUAUCUGUAGCUUCAUUUCAGCCUUUAACAGUAAAAUUUAGAAAGUUCACAGAGAUGACCAUUACAGGUAACAGCAUCAUGAGGUAGAUCUAUUAUCAGCCAAUUGAUAAGAACUUAAUUUAAUGGGGAUUUUUCAUAUUGCAGUUAAAAGAAAUUAAAAAAUAAUUCUCAACUUGUCUUCCUUUGAACUAACUAGAGAAUGCCAUUAUUUACACUUGUGGUUUUUGUCUUUAUUUGGGUUCUACUUGAGAUUAAUUGUGGCCAGUCCCACACUUUCACCUAACUGUUCUUUAUGUUAACCUAAGCUACUCCACUACCCAUUAGCACCAAGUGCCAUUAGCAGUUAUAUUACCUUCUUGACUACUCAAGCUGAACUCGUCUGUAAUAACAAUGAGAUAGACUGUUAGGAGAAAUUCAUCUUACACAGCACUGCUGAAAAACACCUCUAAGGUUUCCCCAAGUGAUAUAAAAUGCUCCAAAAGUUAUAACAAGAGAACAUCCAAUCUCCCCAAAUGGCUCUAGUUGUCAGUAGCUUUAUUUGCAAUACCAAUUGUUGGAAAGUAAUGUACUUUUAUCCAAGUUUCAAGCUGUACUUACUGGUACUCAUUUGCACAGCUUGAGAGAUAUUUAUUGGGAUGACAUUGAAUUGAGCUUUCAAUAUUUCUGAUUUACAUCUUCUCUUUGAGAUAGGACAUCUCUGACAUAGCAAGAAUCAAAAAUAUGUCUUUGAAAUAUGUAUUGUCAUUUGCCUAUAGGGCUUUAUUUGGUAGGGUAAAACUAUGACAAGGCUAAUUAGACUCCCUCUUUGCCUUUCACAUUUUGGGAUUUUUUAAUAUUAAAGAACAAAAACUUACUUGUUAAGGCAAUAUUCAACACUUAACGGCCCAACAAAUAUUUAUUAAAUAGAUCUCCGACAUAAAUAGCUCUAAUAAGUUAUUUUCCUAUUCGCUGACACAAAGGGGGUGGGGCAACCAAAACAGCUGUCAGACUAAGAAGGCUGUUGUCACCCUCAAUUAUAUCCCUUUGCUAGACAGCUCUGGCCUGGCACCUGUUUUGUUUCCCUUUCUUUUUUUUUUUAUUUAUUUUUUUAUUUUUAUGGAGAGCUACUUUACUCUCCUCCCUCUUAUAUUGAAAGAAAGGCAGGA